UACGUAGGGGGCAAGCGUUGUCCGGAUUUAUUGGGCGUAAAGAGCGUGUAGGCGGUUUGGUAGGUCCGCUGUGAAAACUCGAGGCUCAACCUCGAGAUGUCGGCGGAAACCGUCUGGCUAGAGUCCGGAAGAGGAGAGUGGAAUUCCUGGUGUAGCGGUGAAAUGCGCAGAUAUCAGGAAGAACACCUAUGGCGAAGGCAGCUCGCUGGGACGUGACUGACGCUGA
rnacentral:rRNA from 1 species